rnacentral:rRNA from 1 species
UACGUAGGGGGCAAGCGUUGUCCGGAAUCAUUGGGCGUAAAGCGCGUGUAGGCGGCCCGAUAAGUCCGCUGUGAAAGUCCAGGGCUCAACCCUGGGAUGCCGGUGGAUACUGUCGGGCUCGAGUCCGGAAGAGGAGUGUGGAAUUCCUGGUGUAGCGGUGAAAUGCGCAGAUAUCAGGAGGAACACCAAUGGCGAAGGCAGCACUCUGGGACGUGACGGACGCUGAGACGCGAAAGCGUGGGGAGCAAACAGG